UGCAGGAGUCAGCCUUAUUCAACACACAGUAUAGCCAUGGCAGCCCCUGCUCAGCUCCUGGGGUUCCUGCUGCUCUGUCUCCAAGGAGCCAGAUGUGACAUCCAGAUGACCCAGUCUCCACCUUCACUGUCUGUUUCUCCAGGAGACAGAGUCACUCCAGAGACAGACAGUGAGAAUAAUUAUAACAAUUUACACUGGUACCAGCAGAAACCAGGGGAAGCUCCUAAGCUCCUGAUCAGUUAUGUAUCAAAUUUGCAACCUGGGGUUCCACCCAGGUUCAGUAGCAGUGGGUAUGGGACAGAGUUCACUCUCACCAUCAGCAGCCUGCAACCUGAAGAUGUUGCCACUUAUUACUGUCAACAAAGUACUAGUUACCCUCCCACAGUGAUACAAGUCAUAGCAUAA